rnacentral:rRNA from 1 species
CAAUAGCGUAUAUUAAAGUUGUUGCAGUUAAAAAGCUCGUAGUUGAACUUCUGUCUGUAUGUCAACCCUACAAGGAUCUGACAAGACGGGCAUCCCCGAUCGACGGUUUACUGUACUUAAGUGUUCAUAUAACCUGAACCGGAUUUUACUUUGAAAAAUUAGAGUGUUUCAAGCAGGCGAUUUGCUGGAAUACAUUAGCAUGGAAUAAUAGAAGAUGACCACCACGCAUUUUUUUGGUAUAUUGCUGGAGGUAAUGAUUAACAGGGACAGUUGGGGGCAUUAGUAUUUAAUUGUCAGAGGUGAAAUUCAUUGAUUAAUUAAAGACUAACUUAUGCGAAAGCAUUUGCCAAGGAUGUUUUCAUUAAUCAAGAACGAAAGUUAGGGGAUCAAAGACGAUCAGAUACCAU